UACGGGGGGGUAAGCGUUGUUCGGAAUCACUGGGCGUAAAGCGCACGUAGGCGGCUUUCUAAGUCAGGGGUGAAAUCCUGGAGCUCAACUCCAGAACUGCCUUUGAUACUGGAGAGCUUGAGUCCGGAAGAGGUGAGUGGAACUCCGAGUGUAGAGGUGAAAUUCGUAGAUAUUCGGAAGAACACCAGUGGCGAAGGCGGCUCACUGGUCCGGUACUGACGCUGAUGGUGCGAAAAGCGUGGGGAGCAAACAGGG
rnacentral:rRNA from 1 species